GGCCUUGACAUACUAAGAACUUUCCAGAGAUGGAUUGGUGCCUUCGGGAACUUAGAUACAGGUGCUGCAUGGCUGUCGUCAGCUCGUGUCGUGAGAUGUUGGGUUAACGUCCGCAACGAGCGCAACCCUUUUCCUUAUUUGCCAGCGGGUAAUGCCGGGAACUUUAAGGAUACUGCCAGUGACAAACUGGAGGAAGGCGGGGACGACGUCAAGUCAUCAUGGCCCUUACGGCCAGGGCUACACACGUGCUACAAUGGUCGGUACAAAGGGUUGCUACCUCGCGAGAGGAUGCUAAUCUCAAAAAGCCGAUCGUAGUCCGGAUCGCAGUCUGCAACUCGACUGCGUGAAGUCGGAAUCGCUAGUAAUCGCGGAUCAGAAUGCCGCGGUGAAUACGUUCCCGGGCCUUGUACACACCGCCCGUCACACCAUGGGAGUUUGUUGCACCAGAAGUAGGUAGUCUAACCGCAAGGAGGACGCUUACCACGGUGUGGCCGAUGACUGGGGUGAAGUCGUAACAAGGUAGGCGUAGAUGA
rnacentral:rRNA from 1 species